rnacentral:rRNA from 1 species
AUGAACGCUAGCGACAGGCCUAACACAUGCAAGUCGAGGGGCAGCGAAGAGGUAGCAAUACCUUUGUCGGCGACCGGCGCACGGGUGAGUAACACGUAUGCAAUCCACCUGUAACAGGGGGGAUAACCCGGAGGAAUCCGGACUAAUACCCCAUAAUAUGGGCGCUCCGCAUGGAGAGCCCAUUAAAGAGAGCAAUUUUGGUUACAGACGAGCAUGCGCUCCAUUAGCCAGUUGGCGGGGUAACGGCCCACCAAAGCGACGAUGGAUAGGGGUUCUGAGAGGAAGGUCCCCCACAUUGGAACUGAGACACGGUCCAAACUCCUACGGGAGGCAGCAGUGAGGAAUAUUGGUCAAUGGUCGGCAGACUGAACCAGCCAAGUCGCGUGAGGGAAGACGGCCCUACGGGUUGUAAACCUCUUUUGUCGGAGAGUAAAGUACGCUACGUGUAGUGUAUUGCAAGUAUCCGAAGAAAAAGCAUCGGCUAACUCCGUGCCAGCAGCCGCGGUAAUACGGAGGAUGCAAGCGUUAUCCGGAUUUAUUGGGUUUAAAGGGUGCGUAGGCGGCACGCCAAGUCAGCGGUGAAAUUUCCGGGCUCAACCCGGAGUGUGCCGUUGAAACUGGCGAGCUAGAGUACACAAGAGGCAGGCGGAAUGCGUGGUGUAGCGGUGAAAUGCAUAGAUAUCACGCAGAACCCCGAUUGCGAAGGCAGCCUGCUAGGGUGAAACAGACGCUGAGGCACGAAAGCGUGGGUAUCGAACAGGAUUAGAUACCCUGGUAGUCCACGCCGUAAACGAUGAGUGCUAAGUGUUGGAGGGUUUCCGCCCUUCAGUGCUGCAGCAAACGCAUUAAGCACUCCGCCUGGGGAGUACGACCGCAAGGUUGAAACUCAAAGGAAUUGACGGGGGCCCGCACAAGCGGUGGAGCAUGUGGUUUAAUUCGAAGCAACGCGAAGAACCUUACCAGGUCUUGACAUCCUUUGACCACUCUAGAGAUAGAGCUUUCCCUUCGGGGACAAAGUGACAGGUGGUGCAUGGUUGUCGUCAGCUCGUGCCGUGAGGUGUCGGCUUAAGUGCCAUAACGAGCGCAACCCCUAUCGACAGUUACUAACGGGUCAAGCCGAGGACUCUGUCGAGACUGCCGGCGCAAGCCGCGAGGAAGGUGGGGAUGACGUCAAAUCAGCACGGCCCUUACGUCCGGGGCGACACACGUGUUACAAUGGCAGGUACAGAAGGCAGCCAGUCAGCAAUGACGCGCGAAUCCCGAAAACCUGUCUCAGUUCGGAUUGGAGUCUGCAACCCGACUCCAUGAAGCUGGAUUCGCUAGUAAUCGCGCAUCAGCCAUGGCGCGGUGAAUACGUUCCCGGGCCUUGUACACACCGCCCGUCAAGCCAUGGAAGCCGGGAGUACCUGAAGCAUGCAACCGCAAGGAGCGUACGAAGGUAAUACCGGUAACUGGGGCU